UUUGUGACAGAAUUACAAACAAAUGUCAUUAUUGUUGGAACAACACUGAAAAAAUUAGCAUGGCUGUUGCCCAAGGAUGACACAAAUUCGUGAAGCAUUCCAUAUUCAU